UACGAAGGGGGCUAGCGUUGCUCGGAAUCACUGGGCGUAAAGCGCACGUAGGCGGACUCUUAAGUCAGGGGUGAAAUCCUGGAGCUCAACUCCAGAACUGCCUUUGAUACUGGCGAUCUCGAGUCCGGGAGAGGUGAGUGGAACUGCGAGUGUAGAGGUGAAAUUCGUAGAUAUUCGCAAGAACACCAGUGGCGAAGGCGGCUCACUGGCCCGGUACUGACGCUGAGGUGCGAAAGCGUGGGGAGCAAACAGG
rnacentral:rRNA from 1 species